rnacentral:rRNA from 1 species
UACGUAGGUGGCAAGCGUUGUCCGGAUUUAUUGGGUUUAAAGGGUGCGUAGGCGGUCUUAUAAGUCAGUGCUGAAAUAUCCCGGCUUAACCGGGAGGGUGGCAUUGAUACUGUAGGACUUGAGUAAAGUUGAGGUUGGCGGAAUUGACGGUGUAGCGGUGAAAUGCUUAGAUAUCGUCAAGAACACCGAUAGUGUAGACAGCUAACUAGGCUUUAACUGACGCUGAGGCACGAAAGUGUGGGGAUCAAACAGG